AAAAGGAAAGUAGGAUUGAAUGCUUUGCCUGCUAUCUCUUACCCAUGUCUUUUGAGUACCUUACGUUUCCUCGGCGGGUCCGCCCGCCGAUUGGACAAUUUAAACCAUUUGCAGUUGCAAUCAGCGUCUGAAAAAACUUAAUAGUUACAACUUUCAACAACGGAUCUCUUGGUUCUGGCAUCGAUGAAGAACGCAGCGAAAUGCGAUAAGUAGUGUGAAUUGCAGAAUUCAGUGAAUCAUCGAAUCUUUGAACGCACAUUGCGCCCCUUGGUAUUCCAUGGGGCAUGCCUGUUCGAGCGUCAUUUGUACCUUCAAGCUCUGCUUGGUGUUGGGUGUUUGUCUCGCCUCUGCGUGUAGACUCGCCUCAAAACAAUUGGCAGCCGGCGUAUUGAUUUCGGAGCGCAGUACAUCUCGCGCUUUGCACUCAUAACGACGACGUCCAAAAGUACAUUUUUACACUCUUGACCUCGGAUCAGGUAGGGAUACCCGCUGAACUUAAGCAUAUCAAUAAGCGGGAGAGAA
rnacentral:rRNA from 1 species